AUUGAACGCUGGCGGCAUGCUUUACACAUGCAAGUCGAACGGUAACAGGCCUUCGGGUGCUGACGAGUGGCGAACGGGUGAGUAAUGCAUCGGAACGUACCCAGAGGUGGGGGAUAACGCAGCGAAAGCUGUGCUAAUACCGCAUGUGAUCUGAGGAUGAAAGCGGGGGACCGAGCAGCAAUGUUUGGCCUCGCGCCUUUGGAGCGGCCGAUGUCGGAUUAGCUAGUUGGUGGGGUAAAGGCCUACCAAGGCGACGAUCCGUAGCUGGUCUGAGAGGACGACCAGCCACACUGUGACUGAGAGACGGCGCAGACUCCUACGGGAGGCAGCGGUGGGGAAUUUUGGACAAUGGGCGCAAGCCUGAUCCAGCAAUGCCGCGUGCGGGAAGAAGGCCUUCGGGUUGUAAACCGCUUUUGGCAGGAACGAAACGGUGUCCGCUAAUACCGGGCGCUAAUGACGGUACCUGCAGAAUAAGCACCGGCUAACUACGUG
rnacentral:rRNA from 1 species